rnacentral:rRNA from 1 species
CGUUAGGUGCCGUGCAUCCAUCAGGUUCCUUGUGUUUUUUCAUGCAUAUGCUCGUUCUUCUUUUCGCUAUUGCAAAGCCAAGAGUGCAACGCAACAUCGCCCCUUUACCACGAAAACCGCCAUGGCCAGAGGCUACGCAGGCCGGCUCCAGGCCUUCUCCAAAGCCGCUCUUCUUGGUUUGGUCCUCUUAUCCAUGGUGACCUGGGUGCUGCAUGCAUGUUCUUGCCUGAGGGCCUUCCUCUUUGUGUCACUUCCUUCUGCUGCUUCAGCGAUCGCCACACCCAAGUGCCUCUUCAUCUUCUCCAACAUCAUCGUCCUCUUCCUCGCCACCGAGUGCAGGCUCUCGCGGAACGGUGCUCGAUCCACAAGCACUAGCGACGAUGACAUAGAUGCUGUGGUCCGUGAGCUUGUGGCUUUUACACACGCACUCAAAGAGACCCAUGCUGCAGAAGAGAUCGUCAAAGCAGAACAAGAAGUUAGUGUACGCAUGACCACGCAGCAGCUAGAUCAAUGUGAAAAGGAAGAAGAGAGUGACGUCGCACUGCUUAAUAAUUUAGGUGAUGACCUGCAAGAAGAGGUGAUGAAGGAAGAAGACUGUGAGGAGGCAACGGAGCUGCCUACCGAGGAGCUGAAUAGGAGAGUGGAAGACUUCAUUGCAAGAUUCAACAUGGAGAGGCAGCUCGAGGCAAGGAUGGUCGUGUGUUGCUGCUGACGAAAGUGGCUUAAUCAUGUUUGUUUUUGUGUGAUUAAGGUAUUUACCAAAGCUGGUACUAGUAACUUAUCAAGUCACUUGUGUUUUGUAAUUAAGGUAUUUGCCAAAGCUGGUACCGGUACCUUAUCAAGUCACUUGUGUUUGUGUAAUUAAGGUAUUUGCCAAAGCUGGUACCGGUACCUUAUCAAGUCAAAUGUGCAGCAAGCUGAAAUAAUAUGCUUGUGAUGUAUAUUCCACGUUUGCUAUUAUGCAAGCAACAUAAUUACACAUUCCUUCUUUAUGUUCGACUUUCGAUGCAGAUCCGUGGUUGAGAUUAAAACUUGCCUCUUCAGCUAAAGAGCAAGUUAUCCUUCUAGUUUUUGAUAAGUAAAGCUGGA